rnacentral:misc_RNA from 1 species
GAUGAAGAACGUAGCGAAAUGCGAUAAGUAAUGUGAAUUGCAGAAUUCAGUGAAUCAUCGAGUCUUUGAACGCACAUUGCGCCCCCUGGUAUUCCGGGGGGCAUGCCUGUCCGAGCGUCAUUGCUGCCCUCAAGCACGGCUUGUGUGUUGGGCCCCCGUCCCCGGUUUCCUCCGGGGACGGGCCCGAAAGGCAGCGGCGGCACCGCGUCCGGUCCUCGAGCGUAUGGGGCUUUGUCACCCGCUCUGUAGGCCCGGCCGGCGCCAGCCGACACCCAACUUUAUUUCUAAGGUUGACUUCGGAUCAGGUAGGGAUACCCGCUGAACUUAAGCAUAUCAAUAAGCGGAGGA